CCCGAUACCAAACACUCACCAUCGUUCGUCGUGGAUAAGGUUCGAUCUUGUUUUUAACGACAACUACUUUUUUCCUGUUUAGAGCCAAAUCUCUAAGAUUUGAAAAUUUAAACAGAAGUAAUUACGAGCUUAAAUAAAAGUAAUUAUAACGUAGGAGCUUAAACUAUCUAGACAUUAAUUAUUUUCAUCCGCAAUACUUACUUCUAUAUAAUUAUUAGUUCUAUAUGUUAUCUUGUGCUUAUCUAAGAAAUAUCACUACAAGAUGGGCCAGUAUGACGUGGGAAAUCGUCCAUAUGAUCCAUAGCUCUGAUCCUAAUUUUUGAACUAUGAAUUUUCA
rnacentral:lncRNA from 1 species